GACGAACGCUGGUGGCGUGCUUAACACAUGCAAGUCGAACGGAAAGGCCCUGCUUUUGUGGGGUGCUCGAGUGGCGAACGGGUGAGUAACACGUGAGUAACCUGCCCUUGACUUUGGGAUAGCUUCAGGAAACUGGGGCUAAUACCGGAUAGGAGCUCCUGCUGCAUGGUGGGGGUUGGAAAGUUUCGGCGGUUGGGGAUGGACUCGCGGCUUAUCAGCUUGUUGGUGGGGUAGUGGCUUACCAAGGCUUUGACGGGUAGCCGGCCUGAGAGGGUGACCGGCCACAUUGGGACUGAGAUACGGCCCAGACUCCUACGGGAGGCAGCAGUGGGGAAUAUUGCACAAUGGGCGGAAGCCUGAUGCAGCAACGCCGCGUGCGGGAUGACGGCCUUCGGGUUGUAAACCGCUUUCGCCUGUGACGAAGCGUGAGUGACGGUAAUGGGUAAAGAAGCACCGGCUAACUACGUGCCAGCAGCCGCGGUGAUACGUAGGGUGCGAGCGUUGUCCGGAUUUAUUGGGCGUAAAGGGCUCGUAGGUGGUUGAUCGCGUCGGAAGUGUAAUCUUGGGGCUUAACCCUGAGCGUGCUUUCGAUACGGGUUGACUUGAGGAAGGUAGGGGAGAAUGGAAUUCCUGGUGGAGCGGUGGAAUGCGCAGAUAUCAGGAGGAACACCAGUGGCGAAGGCGGUUCUCUGGGCCUUUCCUGACGCUGAGGAGCGAAAGCGUGGGGAGCGAACAGGCUUAGAUACCCUGGUAGUCCACGCUGUAAACGGUGGGUACUAGGUGUGGGGUCCAUUCCACGGGUUCCGUGCCGUAGCUAACGCUUUAAGUACCCCGCCUGGGGAGUACGGCCGCGAGGCUAAAACUCAAAGGAAUUGACGGGGCCCCGCACAAGCGGCGGAGCAUGCGGAUUAAUUCGAUGCAACGCGUAGAACCUUACCUGGGUUUGACAUGGAUCGGGAGUGCUCAGAGAUGGGUGUGCCUCUUUUGGGGUCGGUUCACAGGUGGUGCAUGGCUGUCGUCAGCUCGUGUCGUGAGAUGUUGGGUUAAGUCCCGCAACGAGCGCAACCCUUGUUCACUGUUGCCGGCACGUUAUGGUGGGGACUCAGUGGAGACCGCCGGGGUCAACUCGGAGGAAGGUGGGGAUGACGUCAAGUCAUCAUGCCCCUUAUGUCCAGGGCUUCACGCAUGCUACAAUGGCUGGUACAGAGAGUGGCGAGCCUGUGAGGGUGAGCGAAUCUCGGAAAGCCGGUCUCAGUUCGGAUUGGGGUCUGCAACUCGACCUCAUGAAGUCGGAGUCGCUAGUAAUCGCAGAUCAGCAACGCUGCGGUGAAUACGUUCCCGGG
rnacentral:rRNA from 1 species